rnacentral:rRNA from 1 species
UGGCGGACGGGUGAGUAACGCGUGGAUAACCUGCCGUGUACAGGGGGAUAACACUUAGAAAUAGGUGCUAAUACCGCAUAAGCGCACAACUUCGCAUGAAGGAGUGUGAAAAGCCGAGACGGUACACGAUGGAUCCGCGUCCGAUUAGCCAGUUGGCGGGGUAGAGGCCCACCAAAGCGACGAUCGGUAGCCGGCCUGAGAGGGUGACCGGCCACAUUGGGACUGAGACACGGCCCAAACUCCUACGGAAGGCAGCAG